rnacentral:rRNA from 1 species
GUGCCAGCCGCCGCGGUAAUACGGAGGGGGUUAGCGUUGUUCGGAAUUACUGGGCGUAAAGCGCACGUAGGCGGAUUGGAAAGUUGGGGGUGAAAUCCCGGGGCUCAACCUCGGAACUGCCUCCAAAACUAUCAGUCUAGAGUUCGAGAGAGGUGAGUGGAAUUCCGAGUGUAGAGGUGAAAUUCGUAGAUAUUCGGAAGAACACCAGUGGCGAAGGCGGCUCACUGGCUCGAUACUGACGCUGAGGUGCGAAAGUGUGGGUAGCAAACAGGAUUAGAUACCCUGGUAGUCC